rnacentral:rRNA from 1 species
AGUGAACGCUGGCGGCGUGCCUAAUACAUGCAAGUCGAACGGAGUGGCGCACGGGUGAGUAAUAUAUAGCUAAUCUGCCCCUUGCUGGAGGACUACAGUUAGAAAUGACUGCUAAUACCCCAUAGCAAGGGAUGAGACUAUAUCGUAUCAGCUAGUCGGUGGGGUAACGGCCUACCGAGGCUAUGACGCGUCACUGGUCUGAGAGGAUGAUCAGUCACAUUGGAACUGAGGCACGAUCCAAACUCCUACGGGAGGCAGCAGUAGGGAAUAUUGCGCAAUGGGGGAAUCCCUGACGCAGCAACGCCGCGUGAAGGAUGACCAUUUACGGAGCGUAAACUCCUUUUGUUAGGGAAGCGGUACCUAACGAAUAAGCACCGGCUAACUCCGUGCCAGCCGCCGCGGUAAUUC